rnacentral:rRNA from 1 species
AUUGAACGCUGGCGGCAUGCCUUACACAUGCAAGUCGAACGGCAGCACGGACUUCGGUCUGGUGGCGAGUGGCGAACGGGUGAGUAAUGCAUCGGAACGUGCCAUUGAGUGGGGGAUAACGUAGCGAAAGUUGCGCUAAUACCGCAUAUUCUGUGAGCAGGAAAGCAGGGGACCGCAAGGCCUUGCGCUCUUUGAGCGGCCGAUGUCAGAUUAGCUAGUUGGUGAGGUAAAGGCUUACCAAGGCGACGAUCUGUAGCGGGUCUGAGAGGAUGAUCCGCCACACUGGAACUGAGACACGGUCCAGACUCCUACGGGAGGCAGCAGUGGGGAAUUUUGGACAAUGGGGGCAACCCUGAUUCAGCCAUGCCGCGUGAGUGAAGAAGGCCUUCGGGUUGUAAAGCUCUUUCGGCCGGGAAGAAAUCGCAUGGGCUAAUACCCUGUGUGGAUGACGGUACCGGAAUAAGAAGCACCGGCUAACUACGUGCCAGCAGCCGCGGUAAUACGUAGGGUGCGAGCGUUAAUCGGAAUUACUGGGCGUAAAGCGUGCGCAGGCGGUUUUGUAAGACAGGCGUGAAAUCCCCGGGCUUAACCUGGGAACUGCGCUUGUGACUGCAAGGCUAGAGUACGGCAGAGGGGGGUGGAAUUCCACGUGUAGCAGUGAAAUGCGUAGAGAUGUGGAGGAACACCAAUGGCGAAGGCAGCCCCCUGGGUCGAUACUGACGCUCAUGCACGAAAGCGUGGGUAGCAAACAGGAUUA